GAUGAAGAACGUAGCGAAAUGCGAUAAGUAAUGUGAAUUGCAGAAUUCAGUGAAUCAUCGAAUCUUUGAACGCACAUUGCGCCCGCCAGUAUUCUGGCGGGCAUGCCUGUUCGAGCGUCAUUACAACCCUCAGGCCCCCGGGCCUGGCGUUGGGGAUCGGCGGAAGCCCCCUGCGGGCACAACGCCGUCCCCCAAAUACAGUGGCGGUCCCUCCGCAGCUUCCAUUGCGUAGUAGCUAACACCUCGCAACUGGAGAGCGGCGCGGCCACGCCGUAAAACACCCAACUUCUGAAUGUUGACCUCGAAUCAGGUAGGAAUACCCGCUGAACUUAAGCAUAUCAAUAAGCGGAGGA
rnacentral:misc_RNA from 1 species